CAAUUCGAGCGGUAGCACAGAGAGCUUGCUCUCGGGUGACGAGCGGCGGACGGGUGAGUAAUGUCUGGGAAACUGCCUGAUGGAGGGGGAUAACUACUGGUUUCGGUAGCUAAUACCGCAUAACGUCGCAAGACCAAAGUGGGGGACCUUCGGGCCUCAUGCCAUCAGAUGUGCCCAGAUGGGAUUAGCUAGUAGGUGGGGUAACGGCUCACCUAGGCGACGAUCCCUAGCUGGUCUGAGAGGAUGACCAGCCACACUGGAACUGAGACACGGUCCAGACUCCUACGGGAGGCAGCAGUGGGGAAUAUCCCACAAUGGGCGCAAGCCUGAUGCAGCCAUGCCGCGUGUGUGAAGAAGGCCUUCGGGUUGUAAAGCACUUUCAGCGGGGAGGAAGGCGAUAAGGUUAAUAACCUUGUCGAUUGACGUUACCCGCAGAAGAAGCACCGGCUAACUCCGUGCCAGCAGCCGCGGUAAUACGGAGGGUGCAAGCGUUAAUCGGAAUUACUGGGCGUAAAGCGCACGCAGGCGGUCUGUCAAGUCGGAUGUCCAAAUCCCCGGGCUCAACCUGGGAACUGCAUUCGAAACUGGCAGGCUAGAGUCUUGUAGAGGGGGGUAGAAUUCCAGGUGUAGCGGUGAAAUGCGUAGAGAUCUGGAGGAAUACCGGUGGCGAAGGCGGCCCCCUGGACAAAGACUGACGCUCAGGUGCGAAAGCGUGGGGAGCAAACAGGAUUAGAUACCCUGGUAGUCCACGCCGUAAACGAUGUCGAUUUGGAGGUUGUGCCCUUGAGGCGUGGCUUCCGGAGCUAACGCGUUAAAUCGACCGCCUGGGGAGUACGGCCGCAAGGUUAAAGUUCAAAUGAAUUGACGGGGGCCCGCACAAGCGGUGGAGCAUGUGGUUUAAUUCGAUGCAACGCGAAGAACCUUAAUGGUCUUGACAUCCACAGAACUUAGCAGAGAUGCUUUGGUGCCUUCGGGAACUGUGAGACAGGUGCUGCAUGGCUGUCGUCAGCUCGUGUUGUGAAAUGUUGGGUUAAGUCCCGCAACGAGCGCAACCCUUAUCCUUUGUUGCCAGCGGUCAGGCCGGGAACUCAAAGGAGACUGCCAGUGAUAAACUGGAGGAAGGUGGGGAUGACGUCAAGUCAUCAUGGCCCUUACGACCAGGGCUACACACGUGCUACAAUGGCAUAUACAAAGAGAAGCGACCUCGCGAGAGCAAGCGGACCUCAUAAAGUAUGUCGUAGUCCGGAUUGGAGUCUGCAACUCGACUCCAUGAAGUCGGAAUCGCUAGUAAUCGUAGAUCAGAAUGCUACGGUGAAUACGUUCCCGGGCCUUGUACACACCGCCCGUCACACCAUGGGAGUGGGUUGCAAAAGAAGUAGGUAGCUUAACCUUCGGGAGGGCGCUUAAUGG
rnacentral:rRNA from 1 species